GCAGUGGUGGUUCAGUUGUAGAAUUCUUGCCUUUUGUACUGGAGACCUGGGUUCAAUUCCUGGGCAAUGCA
rnacentral:tRNA from 1 species